AGUCUCUCUAUGACACUCAGUUUGUGUCCAACAACAUGGAGAUCAUCAUCAGGACACACCUGCUCAGAUUAUCACUGUUUCUGCUGUGGACUUCAGGUCUAACUGAUGGAAGCCAUGUCACACAGACGGACACACUUUGGGAAAACCAGGGUGAAGAUGCAACAAUGAACUGCAGCCACACCAAGGGUAUUAACUUCUACCAGAUGUACUGGUACAGACAGCUGCCAGGAGAAACAGUGAAACUAAUCGUGUUCACAACAACUAGCAACAAAGAUCAUGACUUUGGAGAUUUCAAAGAGGAGAAGUUUUCAGCCACCAAGCCUGACGCUGAGAGCGGGACAUUCACAGUGAAGGAUGUGCAGCCGGAAGAUAACGGCUUGUAUUUCUGUGCUGUGAGUGAACACAGUGAUACAGACACAUGUGAGAGCUGAACAAAAACCCCAGACAGUGCACUGUUGGUGGUUAGUGAGUGUAUUUAUCUGCUGUACUGUAGGGGGACCUCGAGUAU